UGCCCGGUAGUGUAAUCGGUAACACAUCAGCUUUUGGAGCUGAGUUUUGAGGUUCGAGUCCUCACCGGGCAG
rnacentral:tRNA from 1 species